rnacentral:lncRNA from 1 species
GACCAAGCAGGCCAAGCAGACGCAGCAACCGCCUCCCGACGCGUCCGUCGUCCGUCGCCGAAGAGGGCGACCAAGCAGGCCAAGCAGACGCAGCAGCCGCCGCCGCCUCCCGACGCGUCCGUUGUCCGCCACCGAAGAGGGCGACCAAGCAGACGCAGCAGCAGCCGCCGCCGCCUCCCGACGCGUCCGUCGUCUGCCGCCGAAGAGGGCGACCAAGCAGGCCAAGAAGACGUAGCAGCCGCC